rnacentral:rRNA from 1 species
AGCGAACGCUGGCGGCAGGCUUAACACAUGCAAGUCGAACGCACCGCAAGGGGAGUGGCAGAAGGGUGAGUAACACGUGGGAACGUACCCUUUGGUUCGGAAUAACUUGGGGAAACUCAAGCUAAUACCGGAUAAGACCUUAUGGGGUAAGGUUUACUGCCGAAGGAUCGGCCCGCGUCUGAUUAGCUAGUUGGUGAGGUAAUGGGUCACCAAGGCGACGAUCAGUAGCUGGGAUGAGAGGGUGAGCAGCCACAGUGGGAACUAGAACACGGCCCAGACUCCUACGGGGAGCAGCAGUGGGGAAAAUUGGAGAAUGGGGGCCACCCUUAUCCAGCCAUGCCGCGUGAGGGAUGAAAGCCUUAGGGUUGUAAAGCUCUUUUACCCGGGACGAUAAUGACUGUACCGGGAGAAUAAGCCCCGGCUAACUUCGUGCCAGCCGCCGCGGUAA